rnacentral:rRNA from 1 species
UUAUGGCUCAGGACGAACGCUGGCGGCGUGCUUAACACAUGCAAGUCGAACGGUGAAGCCCUUCGGGGUGGAUCAGUGGCGAACGGGUGAGUAACACGUGAGCAACCUGCCCCUGACUCUGGGAUAACUACCGGAAACGGUGGCUAAUACCGGAUAUGACGUGCCCGGGCAUCCGGGUGUGUGGAAAGUUUUUCGGUUGGGGAUGGGCUCGCGGCCUAUCAGCUUGUUGGUGGGGUGAUGGCCUACCAAGGCGACGACGGGUAGCCGGCCUGAGAGGGCGACCGGCCACACUGGGACUGAGACACGGCCCAGACUCCUACGGGAGGCAGCAGUGGGGAAUAUUGCGCAAUGGGCGAAAGCCUGACGCAGCGACGCCGCGUGGGGGAUGAAGGCCUUCGGGUUGUAAACCUCUUUCAGCAGGGAAGAAGCGUGAGUGACGGUACCUGCAGAAGAAGCACCGGCUAACUACGUGCCAGCAGCCGCGGUAAUACGUAGGGUGCAAGCGUUGUCCGGAUUUAUUGGGCGUAAAGAGCUCGUAGGCGGUCUGUCGCGUCUGCUGUGAAAACCCGGGGCUUAACCCCGGGCUUGCAGUGGGUACGGGCAGACUAGAGUGCGGUAGGGGAGACUGGAAUUCCUGGUGUAGCGGUGAAAUGCGCAGAUAUCAGGAGGAACACCGGUGGCGAAGGCGGGUCUCUGGGCCGUAACUGACGCUGAGGAGCGAAAGCGUGGGGAGCGAACAGGAUUAGAUACCCUGGUAGUCCACGCCGUAAACGUUGGGCGCUAGGUGUGGGGUCCGUUCCACGGGUUCCGUGCCGCAGCUAACGCAUUAAGCGCCCCGCCUGGGGAGUACGGCCGCAAGGCUAAAACUCAAAG